GACGAAGGGGGCUAGCGUUGUUCGGAAUUACUGGGCGUAAAGCGCGCGUAGGCGGCUCUUCAAGUCAGGCGUGAAAGCCCCGGGCUUAACCCGGGAAUAGCGCUUGAUACUGUUGGGCUUGAGUCCGGGAGAGGAUAGUGGAAUUCCCAGUGUAGAGGUGAAAUUCGUAGAUAUUGGGAAGAACACCAGUGGCGAAGGCGGCUAUCUGGACCGGAACUGACGCUGAGGCGCGAAAGCGUGGGGAGCAAACAGG
rnacentral:rRNA from 2 species